AUUUGGUAAUGUUUAUAGUAUCGGUUAAAUUUGUGCCAGCAACCGCGGUUAUACAAAUGAUACAAUUGAAUAUUUUUAGUUAAAGUAGUUUAUUAAAUUUAUUUUUAGGCUGCGAAAUUUUUCUUUAAAUUAGGAUUAGGUAAUCCUAUUGUUUUAUGUUAAUUAUUUAACUUGAGUAGUAGUUGUUAUUUUCUUGAAACUCAAAGAAUUUGGCAGUAUCUUAUUCUGUUCAGAGGAACUUAUAUUUUUAUCAAAAACCCCCGUUGGGCUACUUGAUUUAUAUAUUUAUUUGUAUAUCGCCUUUGUUUUGAGAUUCUCUUAGAAUUAUUUAAUUUUCUUGUUUUUUAUUUUAUUUUAUCUCAGGCCAUAGUGCAAUUUAUAAUUAAGUGAUUAUAGGUUACAUUGUUAUUUAUGUUUGAAUUAUUAAUUGCAAUUUUAAUAUGAAAUUGGAUUUGAAUGUAAUUAUUAUUUUAGAUAGUAAUUAUGAAUAAGUUUUUGGGAUAUGUUCAUACCGCCUGUCGCUCUCGUUAUUUAUUCGAGAUAAGUCGUAACAUAGUAGUUGUAUCUAAAGAUGUAACUAGAAUUAU
rnacentral:rRNA from 1 species